rnacentral:rRNA from 1 species
AACGAACGCUGGCGGCAGGCUUAACACAUGCAAGUCGAACGCCCCGCAAGGGGAGUGGCAGACGGGUGAGUAACACGUGGGAACAUGCCCAAAGGUACGGAAUAUUCUCGGGAAACUGGGAGCAAUACCGUAUGUGCCCGAAAGGGGAAAGAUUUAUCGCCUUUGGAUUGGCCCGCGUUGGAUUAGCUAGUUGGUGGGGUAAAAGCCUACCAAGGCGAUGAUCCAUAGCUGGUCUGAGAGGACGACCAGCCACACUGGGACUGAGACACGGCCCAGACUCCUACGGGAGGCAGCAGUGGGGAAUCUUGGACAAUGGGCGCAAGCCUGAUCCAGCCAUGCCGCGUGAGUGGUGAAGGCCCUAGGGUUGUAAACUCUUUCGUGGGGGACGAUAAUGACGGUACCCCAAGAAGAAGCUCCGGCUAACUUCGUGCCAGCCGCCGCGGUAAUAC